AACGUCUCCAACACGUGACAUUCGGCGCCUUAUUCAAAUGGCUGUAUAAAAUAGAUUGCGAGGGGGCAGCCCUCAGUUACUCGGGGGGUUCGAUGAGAAUGGCGGAUUAGUAGUGGCAAUGUGCGCCAUUGAUUGUAUGGGUACAGUGGUCCCAUCUGGAAUGGUUUACUACUCGGUGAUCCAAUACCACCCACAAAGCUGGACAGCCUGAUUCUUCUAACUCAUCAAGACUUACAAAUUCUUUUAAAAAAAAUCAUGUGAUCACAUUAAUGUUGAGAUUUUUCUAAUUGCGAAACAUUUUCCAAAUAUUGAAGGCCUCCAAUCAACUUGUUUAUUAUCCACUGUCAAGAUAGGUGAGCCCAUUGGGUCACCUACCAAAGAAUAUAUUCAGAUUCAUGUCCAUGAUCAUCACUGGAUUACCCUAAUAUAAACUGCUCUCAAUGAACUGCAAAGAAAAACUACAAAUCACAUGGUUCUUGAGAAGUAGUACCACAAAAAACUAAAAAUCAUUGUGAAGGAUGUACAACAACAAGCAAAUGUUUGCGGAUCUCUUGCAUUUCUGCAAGAUCGAUCUCAGCGUUUAUAUAAUGAAUAAAGACUAUGGCAAUGCAUAUUCCAGUGCUUUCAGAAUCAAACUUAAAAAACAUUUAAAACCAAAAAUCGGAAAUCAUGCAAAAGUAGAGAAAUUGGAUUGAAGUUCAGUUCCCAGCUGUUUGUGGACUUUACCUCCUAGAAUACAGUAUUAUUAGGGCUGUUUAUUUAUAGCCAUAUUGCUUAAAUCAUUUUUUAAUAAAAGCCAGUGACGGUAGUUAGUGUUGAUGCUUAAGAAAACUUUUUUAAAAACUAUAGUUGGAGCUACACCUUUUUCAAAUGUUUAUAAAGUUUUUUUUGUUGUUAAAGUUCUUUUCAUAGGGCAGUUUAUUGUUCACAUGGAAUGUAUGGGUAUUUGACUAUUUUUCUACUACAUAAAUAAAAUGGGGGCGGAGGGGAAAUUUA